UAUUGACCAUCCACUAAUAAUAGUAACUACCAAUUAUUUCAUAGGAGCGUUGGUCCUAAAGUGAAUUCAAUUCAACCUUUGCAAAUGUUACAAGUCCAAUCUAGGCAAGACGACGUCAUUUCUAGAGCUGUGCGCUUCUUUAUCAUCGAUCUCAUCUAGAGUUGCAGAUGAGGGAAACAGUAAACGACAAGCAUCAGAUUUG
rnacentral:misc_RNA from 1 species